rnacentral:tRNA from 1 species
GCACCCAUAGCUCAAAGGUAGAGUACCUGGCUUAUAUCCAGUUUGUUCGGGGUUCGAAUCCCUGUGGGUGUACCA